GACGAACGCUGGCGGCGUGCUUAACACAUGCAAGUCGAACGGAGCGAAUGAAAGCUUGCUUUUAUGAGCUUAGUGGCAAACGGGUGAGUAACACGUAGACAACCUGCCGACAGGAUGGGGACAACAUUCCGAAAGGAAUGCUAAUACCGAAUGAAGUCAGAGGAGGGCAUCCUUCUCUGAUGAAAGAUGGCCUCUUUUUAUGCUAUCACCUGUUGAUGGGUCUGCGUCUGAUUAGCUGGUUGGUGAGGUAACGGCUCACCAAGGCGACGAUCAGUAGCCGGUCUGAGAGGAUGAACGGCCACAUUGGGACUGAGACACGGCCCAGACUCCUACGGGAGGCAGCAGUGGGGAAUCUUCCGCAAUGGGCGCAAGCCUGACGGAGCAACGCCGCGUGAGUGAAGAAGGUCUUCGGAUCGUAAAGCUCUGUUGACGGGGACGAACGUGCGGAGUGCGAAUAGCGCUUUGUAAGACGGUACCUUCG
rnacentral:rRNA from 1 species